GUCUAUACAUGCAAGUCGAGCGAAGAGAUGGGAGCUUGCUCCCUGAUCUUAGCGGCGGACGGGUGAGUAACACGUGGGCAACCUGCCCUGCAGACUGGGAUAACUCCGGGAAACCGGAGCUAAUACCGGGUAAUACAUCGCACCGCAUGGUGCAAUGUUGAAAGUUGGCUUUCUGACCUAACCCUGCAGGAUGGGCCCCCGGCGCAUUACCUAGUUGGUAAGGUAAUGGCUUACCAAGGCAACAAUGCGUACCCAACCUGAAAGGGUGAUCGGCCACACUGGGACUGAAACACGGCCCAAACUCCUACGGGAGGCACCAGUAGGGAAUCUUCCCCAAUGGACAAAAGUCUGACGGACCACCGCCCCGUGAGUGACAAAGGCCUUCGGGUCGUAAAGCUCUGUUGUUAGGGAAAAACAAUUACCGUUCAAAUAGGGCGGUACCUUGACGGUACCUAACCAAAAAGCCACGGCUAACUACUUGCCACCACCCGCGGUAAUACUUAGGUGGCAAGCGUUGUCCGGAAUUAUUGGGCGUAAAGCGCGCGCAGGCGGUCUUUUAAGUCUGAUGUGAAAGCCCACGGCUCAACCGUGAAGGGUCAUUGAAAA
rnacentral:rRNA from 2 species